rnacentral:sRNA from 1 species
UUAUCGCGUCCGUUGUGCAUCCGGUGCACAC